GUUUGGGCGAGGACAGUGGCCGCAAACGCAAAAUGAAAUUCCAAGCCCCUGAGUUGGAGGUCUUAGUGGAACAAGGUAAUUUAUAUAUGGAUCAUGUUCAGCAGAGAAAUCUUAGCGCUGCUGGAGGAAAGGCAUUAUGGGAGGCAAUUUGCGAAAAAGUUAAUUAUGUAAGCAAAGUGAGGAGAUCUGUAGAAGACAUUAAAAAAGUGACAAGAUCUACGCAGAAGAAGAAAGGAAACAAUGUCCUUCAACCAAACCUCUGCAAAAAAAAACAGGCAGGGGAUCGGCAGAAGAGGUACCGCUCUCCCCAAUUGAGCAACAUGUUCAGCUGUCGUUCUUGGAAAAGCAGAUUGUUGGAAUCGGGGAUGUGACUCUUUGGACUAGAUCGCUGACCAAGCGUUCCUCAGAGGGAGAUGACAUCGGGGGAAUAACAUCGGCCGUGCUGUGGGGGCGCUUUGUGUCAGAGUCCUGGUGGCCAUGGUCUGAUUACCUCCUGGGGAAGAUGGCUCCUGUGAUAGUGCUUUAUAAAUAAAGUUUGAUUUGAUUUUGAUGGCUGGACAGCGGCGCAACCUGCACAAACGCAAAACCCAGAUUAAAAAAUUCGGUCUAAGAAAAAAAAAUUGUCAAAGGCACGCAAAUAAAAUGUUUUUGUAAUUAUUGUUGAUAGUUUUCUGUUCUGUGGUGGCUGUAAAGUACAAUUUUUUGUUUUAAACCAUGCCACACUAUUUAAGUUCAUUCGUUGCCAUUUGUGCCUUGUUUGAUUUCAUUAAAAAUGCAAUCCUUAA